rnacentral:rRNA from 1 species
GACGAACGCUGGCGGCGUGCUUAACACAUGCAAGUCGAACGGAAAGGCCCUGCUUUUGUGGGGUGCUCGAGUGGCGAACGGGUGAGUAACACGUGAGUAACCUGCCCUUGACUUUGGGAUAACUUCAGGAAACUGGGGCUAAUACCGGAUAGGAGCUCCUGCUGCAUGGUGGGGGUUGGAAAGUUUCGGCGGUUGGGGAUGGACUCGCGGCUUAUCAGCUUGUUGGUGGGGUAGUGGCUUACCAAGGCUUUGACGGGUAGCCGGCCUGAGAGGGUGACCGGCGACAUUGGGCCUGCGAUACGGCCCAGACUCCUACGGGAGGCAGCAGUGGGGAAUAUUGCACAAUGGGCGGAAGCCUGAUGCAGCAACGCCGCGUGCGGGAUGACGGCCUUCGGGUUGUAAACCGCUUUCGCCUGUGCCGAAGCGUGAGUGACGGUAAUGGGUAAAGAAGCACCGGCUAACUACGUG